rnacentral:rRNA from 1 species
UUCCGUAGGUGAACCUGCGGAGGGAUCAUUACACAAUAAAAUACGAAGGCCGUUCGCGGCUGGACUAUUUAUUACCCUUGUCUUUUGCGCACUUGUUGUUUCCUGGGCGGGUUCGCUCGCCACCAGGACCACAAUAUAAACCUUUUUUAUGCAGUUGCAAUCAGCGUCAGUAUAACAAAUGUAAAUCAUUUACAACUUUCAACAACGGAUCUCUUGGUUCUGGCAUCGAUGAAGAACGCAGCGAAAUGCGAUACGUAGUGUGAAUUGCAGAAUUCAGUGAAUCAUCGAAUCUUUGAACGCACAUUGCGCCCUUUGGUAUUCCAAAGGGCAUGCCUGUUCGAGCGUCAUUUGUACCCUCAAGCUUUGCUUGGUGUUGGGCGUUUUUGUCCCCCCCAAAAAGGGGACUCGCCUUAAAAGGAUUGGCAGCCGGCCUACUGGUUUCGCAGCGCAGCACAUUUUUGCGCUUGCAAUCAGCAAAAGAGGACGGCAAUCCAUCAAGACUCCUUCUCACGUUUGACCUCGGAUCAGGUAGGGAUACCCGCUGAACUUAAGCAUAUCAAUAAGCGGAGGAAA